rnacentral:rRNA from 1 species
UGAACGCUAGCGACAGGCCUAACACAUGCAAGUCGAGGGGUAACAGGGAAGCUUGCUUCCGCUGACGACCGGCGCACGGGUGCGUAACGCGUAUGAAACCUACCUUAUACUGGGGGAUAGCCCGAAGAAAUUCGGAUUAACACCCCAUAAUAAUGUAAAGCCGCAUGGUUUAACAUUUAAAACUCCGGUGGUAUAAGAUGGUCAUGCGUGACAUUAGAUUGUUGGUGAGGUAACGGCUCACCAAGUCUACGAUGUCUAGGGGUUCUGAGAGGAAGGUCCCCCACACUGGUACUGAGACACGGACCAGACUCCUACGGGAGGCAGCAGUGAGGAAUAUUGGUCAAUGGACGCAAGUCUGAACCAGCCAUGUCGCGUGAAGGAAGAAGGUUCUAUGGAUUGUAAACUUCUUUUAUACAGGAAGAAUGGUCACUACGUGUAGUGAUUCGACGGUACUGUAUGAAUAAGCACCGGCUAACUCC